GGGCUCGCCGAGUAGACGAGGGCCGCCGUCGGCACGCUGACAGGGGGCCUCCGGCCGCCCCUCACCGAUCCUCCUCGCGCCACCGGCCGACCAAGGUCAACCCGCAAUGUUCUUAUAUUUUUUAUAGAGCGAUUAAUAUUUAGAUUGCAUAAGGCAGGUGGUAGGAAGCACAAUGGAUGAGAAGGUUCAGUGGUGGUCGGUAGGUUUAUGGUGCAUUUUCUUGUGCGAGUAACUGUUAUGAGUGUGUCAUUAUUUUCCUUACGUAAGUUGCGCAUAAAACAUUUUUAAUCUAGUGGGCCAUUUGCAUUUAUAUAUCCAAAUGCAAAAAAGAAAAAUCACUAAGAUAGAAAUGACCAGCUCAAACUUCAGAUCCAUUUAUAUGUGAGAGUAUGAUACUGGUUGUAGUAUGUUUAGAUUAGAUUUAUGUUUAUAAGCAGAUGAAAUACUAAAUGACAUAAUUCGGAGGUUUACCAGCUCAACGAUUUGAUGGGUUAGUGCAUGAUAUUAGCAUAGCCUAUUUAGAAAAUUGGGUCAAGAGCAGAGCCGGAAACAUGAGCAGGAGGACCGUUUGAUAAUAGUAGACACGGACUUCUAGAUGGAGAGGAGUUAUGGAUCUUAAACUAAUAUUCAGAUUGUAGGAGACAGGUGGUAGGAGACGCAUGUGCAUGAGAAGGUUGCUGAAAUUGUGGAGCAUAUAGAGUGCGAGAGAGUGUCUCUCCUCAGCUGUGGAAGUGCCAUUCAUGAUGCCUCUAAGUCCUAGUAUGCCUUGGUUUUCUUAGUAUGUGCAUUGAGACGUAGGUAACAACAAAAUGGUCUUGAGAUGAAAAAUAAGUUGCAAGUCCUCUUCUAUUGAGCAUAGCAUGAGAUCGACGCUUCUUCGAUGGACUUAUAUUACCCUCUCUUCAGAGAUAAUGAGUGACAAUUUCAUAUGCACCUACUUUCUGAUUAAUGGGAAAAUCUAAUCUACACACGCCCCAUUAUUGCUUUACAGUGCGGCGACUCACACAUGCGACGGAGUACUAGAAAGC
rnacentral:lncRNA from 1 species